GCAGUGGUGGUUGAGCAGUAGAAUUCUUGCCCUCCAUGUAGGAGACCCAGGUUCAGUUCCUGGCCAGUGCA
rnacentral:tRNA from 1 species